CCCAUGGUCAGAGGAGCUUGGCAGGCUACGGUCCAUAGGGUCGCAAAGAGUGGGACACAACUGAAGCGACUUUGCACAUGCGCACGUAAUCCUAAGAGCCCUCAGGGGUAGUAUACAUCAUUCCCUUCAUUUUGUAGGUGGGGACGGUUCAGUAACUUCUCCACAGUCGAAGAUCAAGUGAGUGAUGGAACCUAGGACUUGGUUUCAGAUUUUUCUGACUCCAGAGUCUGGGCUUUUCCUUUUAAUGGAGGACAUAGCUUGUUGGGAUUGGUGUGACCAGUCCUAUUGGCCAAGGAAAGCUGAAGCAUUUUGUAAAAUGAGGGAGGCACUAAGGCACUUCUUAGAGAGUAAAUAGAGUCUCUCAGAGGGAAUGACCCUAAGGGAGUUGGAAAGCAGGUGUGGGGCAAGAGACAGCGGAGAGGAUGGUUGGUCUUGAUUAAGCCUAACUUAUCUCUUGACCACCAGUAGGGAAAUGGGGGUGGGGAGGGACAAGUUAGUAAGAGGAAAUGGCCCAAGAGCCGAGCUCUCCAGGGUUUUCUCCCAUGUCCCCCUCAGCAGCCCCCUCUGGACAGAGGCUCCGCUCUGGCUUUGUCGUCACAUUCAGACAAAGGACUCGAUGUAGGAAGGCAGGCUGGCCAUCCAGAGCAGGUUUGCCUCGUGGAAAGGACAUGUGGCUGAGAGCAAGGAAGGCCCAGCCAGGAGUGAGGAGAUCUGUGUUCCAGUGCCGCUCACGAUGAAGGGAACCAUCAUGCAUGUCCAGGACCAAGUGGAACACCUGUGGGCUGCGGAUCCCCAGGACGCUCUGGCAGAGGCAGGAUGAGGGCACCUCAGUAGACGGCCCAGGAAGAUGCCCCCAUCUGCACUCUCUUCCAUUCUAGUGCCCUCGUGAUGACCCUGUGCCUGGACAGGAGAUGUGGCUUCCCAGCUGCUUCCUUACCUUUGAGGGCCUGCCUCUGUACUGGGUUCCGGUACAAUUUUUUUCACCAGAAGAGUCAAGAUAGUUUCUGUCACAUCUGAGCAAUGCCCCUCACACCCUUCACCUGUCCCUUCUCCUACCCAGCUCCAGUCCUGCAGAAAAGCUUUCCCUGAACUCCUGGUAGGGCGGGAAGUCUAAAAUAAAAAAGCUGGCAAACCAC